rnacentral:lncRNA from 1 species
GGCAACUCUUCAGGAAAUACAUCUGGAAAAUGACAUACUGUGGAUAGGUUUGACACACUAGGACCUUCCUUCUGAGUUUCAAUCACACUAGCCAGAUAGGUUGUACUGCCUUUUCUAAUCAACCUCCUAGCUGUAGUGGCAGAUAUGACAUUAGAGAGGUAAUCUGACCUCUCACCCACAAUUAUAACCUCAGAACCCUCUAAUGUUUUGAGUGUGACUCGCUUUAACUUACAAUCAACUAUGACAUGAUGUCUAGACAACCAAUCCAUGCCCAAAAUCACAUCAAACUCUCUAAAAGGUAACUCUAUCAGGUCACCUAAAAAGGUAUGACCUUGCACACAUAUAGGACAAUCUCUGUAAACUCUAUUCACAAUCACAAGAUGUCCUAAGGGAUUGGUCACUGCUAUGUCAUGCUCUAAAGGUUCUACUUCAAUUCCCUUCUCAUUAUUGAUGGGUAUGCUGAUGUAUGAAUGUGUGGAACCAGGAUCAAUUAUUGCAUAAACAUAUUUGCCACAGAUAGAAAAUUUACCAGCUAUAACAUCUGGUUUGUCCUGGUCUUCCCUUGCACGAAUAGCAUAUGCCCUGGCAGGUGCUCUAGUGUCUGGUCUAUCUACUGUCUCUGAUACUCUGUGACUCUGAGCACUGCUAGAUUCACCUCUACCUCUACUUUUGUACUCAGUGAAAUUUGUUAAGACCAGUGCCAAUUGAAUCUUAAGAAGUAUACCUAAAACUUUGUAGAAGACACUUAAGAUUAAAUUUGCAUGAAAAUGCAUGAAUAUUAUAUGUUUUGUGAUACUAUAAACAGGUACCAAUAUUGGACUGAUUAAGACCUGAUUGAGCAGCUUGUAAAGAAAAAUUCAUAACUUAAGCUAGGAUGAUCAGAAUUGCAUGAACCAUACCUUGUUGGAAAGAUAAGACAUAAAUGUACAUUUCUUAUGAAGAAACUGAAGUUAAAUUGUAACUCUAAACUGCUUGAAAAGUUGAUGCAAUAUAUGGCAGAAUGUAGUUUUCUACAUUAAAAUGCUAAGUCAAUAAAGUUUUGCACUAUUUGCCAUGAGUUUUCCAUAUUGUAAAUCUUGGCAUAUGAUAUAUGUAACUUGGAAAAUGAAUUCAAAUAGCUUCAAAUGGCAUGCAUUUUACAUUGAUACAUUGAAUUAAUAGUACUUGGUCCUGGUAAACGUAAUAGGAGUCGAGGUUAGUAUAAGGGUAUGGCAUGCCAUAUAAACAUACAGAGUUCGCAGUACUGCUACAGAUACAUGAGCUAUAUUUGAGGUUCCAUAACGGGUACCUCAUAAGCAUGGUCACAGAGCCCUGCUAUCACAGUUUUGGCCUCUGAGCCUACCGUUCAGCACCCUGUGCCUACCGUUAUAACUCCUUAUCUACCUAGUCGAUCCUACUAUGUGUUUAUAAAGGCUAAGAUCUUAAUUCUUCCAAUUCAAUUACACAACUUCUUAGGAUAUCUUCCAAAACUUGAAUUACUCUUUCUGACUGGCCAUCUGUCUGAGGAUGAAAAGCUGUACUAAAAUUCAAUCUUGUCCCUAGAGCUUCAUGUAGUUUUUUCCAGAAUCUGGAUGUGAAUCUUGGAUCUCUGUCUGAUAUGAUAGAGAUAGGAACACCAUGCAGUCUCACAAUUUCAUUAAUGUACAAUUCUGCAUACUUUUCUAAUGUAUAAUCCAUUCUGAUUGGCAAGAAAUGCGCUGAUUUAGUUAACUUGUCAACUAUUACCCAGAUGGCAUCUUUCUUCCUUGGUGUGAGUGGCAAUCCUGUUACAAAAUCCAUGGUAAUUCUAUCCCAUUUCCAUUCUGGUAUAGCGAUAGGCUGCAAUAACCGUGAUGGAACCUGAUGCUCUGCUUUUACCCGUUGACAUGUCAAACAUUUUGUUACAAAUUCAACUAUAUUUCUUUUCAUACCCGGCCACCAAUAAUGCGCCUUCAGAUCUUGAUACAUCUUAGUGCUACCUGGAUGCAUAACAUAUGGACUGUUGUGUGCCUCUGUAAGAAUACUCUGUUUCAACUCUCCAAUGUUAGGUACACAUAUUCUGUCACCAUAGUACAAGUAGCCAUCAUCACUUAUCACAUGCUUCUGCUUCUUUCCCUCUUGUACUUGUCUAGUCCAUGAAGCUAUCUUUGUAUCUUCUUUUUGUGCUUCUUUAAUUUGUUGUAGCAGGCUGGGUCUAACUUUCAAUUCUGCUAUGAUAGCUCCAUCAUCCGCUAUAGUCAACCGCGCAUUCAUCGCUCUUAAUGCAAAUAAGGAUUUCCUGCUAAGUGCAUCUGCUACCAGAUUAGCUUUGCCUGGGUGAUAAUCUAUAAUGCAAUCAUAAUCCUUCAGUAACUCCAGCCAUCUUCUCUGUCUCAAGUUUAGCUCCUUCUGCGUGGGUAAGUAUUUCAGACUUUUAUGAUCUGUAUAGAUGUAACAUUUCUCACCAUAUAAGUAAUGUCUCCAUAUCUUUAGUGCAAAAACUAUGGCCGCCAACUCUAGAUCAUGGGUAAGAUAGUUCUUCUCAUGUGGCUUCAAUUGUCUGGAAGCAUAGGCAAUCACUUUACCUUCUUGCAUCAAAACACAUCCAAGUCCAUUGUGAGAAGCAUCACUGUAUAUCACAAAUUCCUUGCCAGAAAUAGGUUGUGUAAGUAUUGGUGCUUCGGUAAGCAUAGUCUUCAAUUUGUCAAAGCUUGCCUGACAUCUAUCAUUCCAAACAUACUUAACAUUCUUAUGUAGUAAUUUAGUCAAUGGAGCUGCUAUAAGUGAAAACCCUUUCACAAACCGUCUGUAGUACCCAGCUAAACUCAAGAAACUCCUGAUCUCUGCAACAUUCUUUGGUGGCUUCCAUUCCAGUACAGCUUUAAUCUUCUGUGGAUCUACCCUGAUUCCCUCUGCUGAUACAACAUGUCCCAAAAAUGUUAUUUCAUUGAGCCAAAAAUCACAUUUACUGAACUUAGCAUAAAGUUGCUUUUCCCUUAGAGUCUGUAAUACUAUCCUCAAAUGUCUGUCAUGGUCUUCCCUAGUUUUAGAGUAUACCAGAAUAUCAUCAAUGAAUACUACAACAAACUGGUCUAAAUAUGGAUAGAAGAUACGGUUCAUCAGAUCCAUGAAUGAUGCAGGUGCAUUUGUUAGCCCGAAUGGCAUAACCAGAAACUCAUAAUGUCCAUAUCGUGUCCUGAAUGCAGUCUUAGGCACAUCUGCCCCUUUAACUCUCAACUGAUGGUAACCCGAUCUCAAAUCUAUCUUAGAGGAAAUGCUGGCCCCUUUCAACUGAUCAAACAAAUCAUCUAUUCUGGGCAGUGGAUAUUUAUUCUUUAUAGUUACCUUAUUCAAUUGUCUGUAAUCAAUGCACAAUCGAAGAGAUCCAUCUUUCUUUUUCACAAACAACACUGGUGCACCCCAUGGUGAAACACUAGGUCGAAUAAAGCCCUUAUCAAGUAAUUCUUGUAACUGUAUUUUCAACUCUUUCAAUUCUGUAGGAGCCAUUCUGUAAGGAGCAAUUGAAAUAGGUGCAGUACCUGGCACAACUUCUAUAGCAAAAUCCACUUCCCUUUCUGGAGGUAACCCUGGCAACUCUUCAGGAAAUACAUCUGGAAAAUGACAUACUGUGGAUAGGUUUGACACACUAGGACCUUCCUUCUGAGUUUCAAUCACACUAGCCAGAUAGGUUGUACUGCCUUUUCUAAUCAACCUCCUAGCUGUAGUGGCAGAUAUGACAUUAGAGAGGUAAUCUGACCUCUCACCCACAACUAUAACCUCAGAACCCUCUAAUGUUUUGAGUGUGACUCGCUUUAACUUACAAUCAACUAUGACAUGAUGUCUAGACAACCAAUCCAUGCCCAAAAUCACAUCAAACUCUCUAAAAGGUAACUCUAUCAGGUCACCUAAAAAGGUAUGACCUUGCACACAUAUAGGACAAUCUCUGUAAACUCUAUUCACAAUCACAAGAUGUCCUAAGGGAUUGGUCACUGCUAUGUCAUGCUCUAAAGGUUCUACUUCAAUUCCCUUCUCAUUAUUGAUGGGUAUGCUGAUGUAUGAAUGUGUGGAACCAGGAUCAAUUAAUGCAUAAACAUAUUUGCGAAAGAUAGAAAAUUUACCAGCUAUAACAUCUGGUUUGUCCUGGUCUUCCCUUGCACGAAUAGCAUAUG